AGGAAGAAUGCUGAGCCGAAUUUUAUCACGUGCCAUGGUCUCAAGAAGCUGUGAGCAGAUAUUUCUACUGCAAGAUCCAGCAGCGCCGACAGGAAUCGGAACAAUCUUUGGGACCGGACCAAUGCAAGAAGCUAUCUCCCCAUCUGAAAGAACUAACUAGGAGGAUUUUCAUCCCGGAAUGCAGAGCCUGUCUGGAAGAAAGACAUAUAGUCAGGACUAACAGAAAGAGACUCAUCCCUGGGAUAAAACCUUCUUAUGCAUCCCUAAUAUCAGUGGUAUUAGCAACAAAUGAGGCAUUCUGAGAAAAUGGAAAUAACGUAAUGGUGCUUUGCUGAUGCCUGCCUUUAACACAGCAGAUAUUAACAAUAUGUAUGCAUGUAAAAUACCAGAUCACUUAAAUGUUUCUCUGUGUGCCUGUAGGGUUCAUCACUGAAAAGAACUUCCUAAUUCUUGGUGCAGAAUUCAAGAAGCUUAAUUUCAUGUAACACGGUAGUUUUUUCUUUACUUCAAGAUGUUAGCAGAGGCCCUGGAUUGGUCUCAGAUUUUGAUCAUAGGUGAACUGCCUCUUACUAUUAAUUAUUUAGCUCU